CAAAAGCGUAUAUUAAAGUUGUUGCAGUUAAAAAGCUCGUAGUUGAACCUUGGGCUUGGCUGGCCGGUCCAUCUUUUUUGAUGCGUACUGGACCCAGCCGAGCCUUUCCUUCUGGCUAGCCUUUUGGCGAACCAGGACUUUUACUUUGAAAAAAUUAGAGUGUUCAAAGCAGGCCUUUGCUCGAAUAUAUUAGCAUGGAAUAAUAGAAUAGGACGUUAUGGUUCUAUUUUGUUGGUUUCUAGGACCAUCGUAAUGAUUAAUAGGGACGGUCGGGGGUAUCAGUAUUCAGUUGUCAGAGGUGAAAUUCUUGGAUUUACUGAAGACUAACUACUGCGAAAGUAUUUACCAAGGACGUUUUCAUUAA
rnacentral:rRNA from 1 species